rnacentral:tRNA from 1 species
GGACUGUAGCUCAGUGGUAGAGAGCUUGCCUAGCAUGUGUGAGGCACUGGGUUUGAUUCUCAGCACCA